CAGCCGCCGCGGGAAUACGAAGGGUGCAAGCGUUACUCGGAAUUACUGGGCGUAAAGCGUGCGUAGGUGGUGGUUUAAGUCCGUUGUGAAAACCCUGGGCUCAACCUGGGAAUUGCAGUGGAUACUGGGUCACUAGAGUGUGGUAGAGGAUAGUGGAAUUUCCGGUGUAGCAGUGAAAUGCGUAGAGAUCGGAAGGAACAUCUGUGGCGAAGGCGACUAUCUGGGCCAACACUGACACUGAGGCACGAAAGCGUGGGGAGCAAACAGGAUUAGAUACCCCAGUAGUCCCUGUCUCUUAUAC
rnacentral:rRNA from 1 species